rnacentral:rRNA from 1 species
AUGACUGACCGUGAACUCCUUAUAAGUCUUCACCAGAAGGUGGAUCUCAACCACAAGUGGGUUAAGCGUCAGUUUGGAUCUAUUCUUCACAACAUGACCUCUACACAUAAUGCAGUGAAGAAAAACCACUACUACCUCCAUGAAGUGUUUGAUCGCACCUGGGCUAUUCUGUCACAUCUAUAUGGUGAAGAAGAUCAGAAGCAAAUGGGCUUCAAGGAAGACUUUGACUGGUCUACUCCUCCACCGAAGAGAUUCAAGAAGGUCAGGGUUCCUUCCUUGGUGGCUAGAUCAUAUUCUUCAUCACACGCCACGGACGAGCAUGAAGACUUGGACGACACUGCAGCAGGCCCUACAACGACUCAAGACCUUGACAACAAUGGCGCUCCUCCAUCAUCAUGA